GUAACUGCGAGUGAAGCGGGGAAGAGCUCAAAUUUAAAAUCUGGCGGUCUUUGGCCGUCCGAGUUGUAGUCUGGAGAAGUGCUUUCCGCGCCGGACCGUGUACAAGUCUCUUGGAAUAGAGCGUCAUAGAGGGUGAGAAUCCCGUCUUUGACACGGACUGCCGGUGCUUUGUGAUGCGCUCUCGAAGAGUCGAGUUGUUUGGGAAUGCAGCUCAAAAUGGGUGGUAAAUUCCAUCUAAAGCUAAAUAUUGGCGAGAGACCGAUAGCGAACAAGUACCGUGAGGGAAAGAUGAAAAGCACUUUGGAAAGAGAGUUAAACAGUACGUGAAAUUGCUGAAAGGGAAACGCUUGAAGUCAGUCGCGUCUUACGGAACUCAGCCUUGCUUUCGCUUGGUGCACUUUCUGUAGGACGGGCCAGCAUCGAUUUUGACCGUCGGAAAAGGGUCGAAGGAAUGUGGCACCUCCGGGUGUGUUAUAGCCUUUGGCCGCAUACGGCGGUUGGGAUCGAGGAACGCAGCGUGCCGCAAGGUGGGGCUUCGGCCUACAUUCACGCUUAGGAUGCUGGCGUAAUGGCUUUAAACGACCCGUCUUGAAACACGGACCAAGGAGUCUAACAUGCCUGCGAGUGUUUGGGUGGAAAACCCGAGCGCGUAAUGAAAGUGAAAGUUGAGACCUCUGUCGUGGAGGGCAUCGACGCCCGGACCUGACGUUCUCUGACGGAUCCGCGGUAGAGCAUGUAUGUUGGGACCCGAAAGAUGGUGAACUAUGCCUGAAUAGGGUGAAGCCAGAGGAAACUCUGGUGGAGGCUCGUAGCGAUUCUGACGUGCAAAUCGAUCGUCAA
rnacentral:rRNA from 1 species